rnacentral:rRNA from 1 species
GAUGAACGCUGACAGAAUGCUUAACACAUGCAAGUCAACUGUGGCGGACGGGUGAGUAACGCGUAAAGAACUUGCCUCACAGUUAGGGACAACAUUUGGAAACGAAUGCUAAUACCUGAUACUGUGAGAGAGCUUUGCGUCCCAUUAGCUAGUUGGAGAGGUAACGGCUCACCAAGGCGAUGAUGGGUAGCCGGCCUGAGAGGGUGAUCGGCCACAAGGGGACUGAGAAACGGCCCCUACUCCUACGUGAGGGAGGAGGGGGGAAUAAUGGACAAAGGACCAAGAUCGUAAUCAGGAAUUCUGGUUUCACGAUGAAGUUUUCGGGAUUGAAAGGGGCUUCAGUUGGGAAGCGGUACCAACAGAAGAAGUGACGGCUAAAUACGUGCCAGCCGCCGCGGUAAUUC